AACGCGAAGAACCUUACCUACCCUUGACAUGUCAGGAAGUCCGCAGAGAUGUGGAUGUGCUCGAAAGAGAACCUGAACACAGGUGCUGCAUGGCUGUCGUCAGCUCGUGUCGUGAGAUGUUGGGUUAAGUCCCGCAACGAGCGCAACCCUUGUCAUUAGUUGCUACGAAAGGGCACUCUAAUGAGACUGCCGGUGACAAACCGGAGGAAGGUGGGGAUGACGUCAAGUCCUCAUGGCCCUUAUGGGUAGGGCUUCACACGUCAUACAAUGGUCGGUACAGAGGGCUGCCAACCCGCGAGGGGGAGCUAAUCUUUUAAAACCGAUCGUAGUCCGGAUUGUAGUCUGCAACUCGACUGCAUGAAGUCGGAAUCGCUAGUAAUCGCGGAUCAGAAUGUCGCGGUGAAUACGUUCCCGGGGUCUUGUACACACCG
rnacentral:rRNA from 1 species